rnacentral:rRNA from 1 species
UACCAGCACCCCGAGUGGUCGGGACGUUUUAUUGGGCCUAAAGCAUCCGUAGCCGGUUCUACAAGUCUUCCGUUAAAUCCACCUGCUUAACAGAUGGGCUGCGGAAGAUACUAUGGAGCUAGGAGGCGGGAGAGGCAAGCGGUACUCGAUGGGUAGGGGUAAAAUCCGUUGAUCCAUUGAAGACCACCAGUGGCGAAGGCGGCUUGCCAGAACGCGCUCGACGGUGAGGGAUGAAAAGCUGGGGGGAGCAAACCGGG